UGUGCGUGAACACUUAACCUUAGCCACACCGCGAGCCAGUGACCUUGAACGGCGAACGCAUUUGACUAACAGCGGACCGGCACCUAGGCAUCGUCGGCUACCUAUAAUAAGAGAUUAAAAAACACUGGGAACCCACUGACUUAAAGUCGUGGUCGUCAAUUCUCUUUGUUGUCCAUCAUAUCCCCCCUACCUAACAGAUUAUUACUAUCUGCCACCACUGCCGUACAGAUUCCAACCGGAAUCGUGUGUAUCGAUUUGUUUUCAUUAAAAAAUAUAAGAUUCUUGUCAGAUUAGGGAACCCCUAACCCAAACAUAAAAAAAAAUUGUAUGAUAAUCAAUUCAAUUUAAUAACAGCUGCUGCGGCAAUCGUGUUAUCAUAGCCAAACACUAUUGCAAACCAUAUGGUUAACCGUGGUUAUAUCCGUAGGUACUAUUUUAUUGAUAUAAAAUUCAUUCUAUUUAUCAUUUAAUUAUAUAAAUAUUAAACUAAGUACAUUUAUAUUAAUUAUAUUUAAUAUGUAAAUAGAAAUAAUUUACUUAAAAACAAUAAAACACUAUCAAAUUUUUGAAGUAAUGCGUAAAUACAUUUUGAGGCAACGAGGAAUAUCUUGGCCUAAAUUAAUUUUAGCAUCGGCAGUAGGAAUCAUUGCCGGUGUUUACAUUUGGAAGCCGUUCUUCGAAUCUCUUGAUUCUGAAAGAUCUUCAAGUGAUACUAAGAAAUAAUGCAAGCUCAAAAACCAGCUCUUCGACCUGGUGGUCCACUGGCAACAAACUUUAAUAGAAUAUUAGCAUUUGUUGGCUUAUCAUGGUUUGGUUAUAUGGUAGUAGUACGAUAUGUUAUUAAACCUUUACAUGUAAAAGGUAGAUUGAAAGAGAACGAAAAACUUAUGAAUGAAUUAUAUGAUGAACAGAAACAGCAAGCAAAGAAAAAUGAAUAAUUUUAAUUUAAUAAGUAUAUACUUUUUGAAAAAAUGUUUGAAGUGUCUUGUUUAUAUUUUUUAAUUUUUGUGCAACCACAUCUAAUAGUUUAUGUUAUAGUAUAAAAAUAAAAUCAAUGAUAUUGAAU